GCGGGUGUAGCUCAGCUGGUAGAGCACAACCUUGCCAAGGUUGGGGUCGCGGGUUCGAAUCCCGUCGCCCGCU
rfam:Deltaproteobacteria bacterium GWC2_42_11 gwc2_scaffold_485, whole genome shotgun sequence.